AACCAGCACCUCAAGUGGUCAGGAGGAUUAUUGGGCCUAAAGCAUCCGUAGCCGGCUCUGUAAGUUUUCGGUUAAAUCUAUAUGCUCAACGUAUAGGCUGCCGAAAAUACUGCACAGCUAGGGAAUGGGAGAGGUAGACGGUACUCGGUAGGAAGGGGUAAAAUCCUUUGAUCUAUCGAUGACCACCUGUGGCGAAGGCGGUCUACCAGAACAUGUUCGACGGUGAGGGAUGAAAGCUGGGAGCAAGCCGG
rnacentral:rRNA from 1 species